CACAGCAACAGCUCUCCCAGACGGCCCGGAAGCGGGGAAGUGUGGGUCAGUCUCGGUUUUUAGAAGUCUACCUCUAAGCAGGGAGGGGGUGUCUGUGAUACUAUAUGAAGCAGCAGCAGCAGCAGCAGCAGCAUGCUGACUAGGAAGCCGCGGUCCGCAGAGAAAGGUGCUUCUAGCCAGUGGGUGAUCCUUGCUCCAGUGUCUGUUACUGAUCUCCCAAAGAAGUCUGGCUGUGGGCCUUUAUUUACAAGACUGCGUAAUCCAAGCACAGGACAAGCAGCCCUUUACUUGUUCAGUAGUGAUGCUCAUCAGCUGUUUGAAAUAAAAGCUUUUCAUGAGGAAUAUCGGUCAUGGUUUAUAGGUCAGACUGUUCAACAUGAUGGACGCCUGUUCUUUGCUACACCAGUGGACCCCUUAUUUCUUGUGCUGUUCUACUGUAUCCAGGCACAGAAAGAGCAGGGAAAGUUCCAACCACUGGAUCAAAUUUUGGUAGAUGAAGAGUUUUCCUCCUGCACAAUGUUGCUACAAUGCGCAAAUAUUUCACAGUCUGUUCACCACAUAGUAGAAGAAAAAGAAAUAAGCGGUAGGAAAUUUUAUAAAUAUAAUGAGGAGAAAACAUUGAAGUGGCUGAAGAAGAAGGUUGACCAGACUGUGAAAGUCCUAAAAGAUCAAGAUGUAUGUGUUGGUGGAAAGGUGCAAUCUGCUACAUUCAUCAGUGGUAAACAGAUCACAGAUGCCACAGAAGUGGACUACAUUCUUUACGCUCAUGGUUUAAUAUCGGAAUACAUUCCUGAAGAGCUGAGUACUGCACUAGCUAAAUAUUUACGACUUCCGCAGGUUACAAGCCCUCCAGCAGAGCCAGCACCAAAGACAUCACUACGUCAUCAGAGGAAGAGAUGAAGGGGAUAACAUGAAAUUUUGAUGCCUUAUUUUAGCAUGGAGCAUCCCAAAGACAUUUUAAGGAACUAUAACUUGUCUUGUGAGGAUCUGUUAUCCAGGGCCCACACAGCGAUCAUCACUACCCCAAUGUUUAACUACAAGCACAUGAACAAAGAACUGCCUUACUGUUUCAUCAAAUACAAUGUGGAAAGGAAAUGCACAGCAGAAUGUCCUCUCAUCAAUCCAAAGCCUCUCAGGGAAAAGUGGCUCAGAGGUGAACAGGGGUGAAAAAGUCUAUAAUCACUGAAGUUCUGUCCCAGGAAGAAUAAAGUCUUCUGCAAAGAGAUCCUGCACAAUUUCAGACAUAUUUACAGCACAAGCAUGGCUACUCAGGAGUAAGUCACACGGACUCUGAUAAGACUUAUCCCAGUCCUCCUGCCUUCACAAGAGCACUUUGUCUAGCUUGGAGACUGCAAGUGAAGUUCAAGGACAAUAAAGAAUGAAGGAACCAUAAAGAUGGAAGGGAGAGACAGAGAAUCAGAGAACAGUUGGGUUGGAAUGGAGUGGUCAGGUUGACCUUCAGAUUUCCAUAUCUAUAUCUAUAUCUAUGUAUGUUUAUGUUUGUAUGAACACAGAUGCCCAGGGAUGCAACUCCUGUGCAUGUUCUGGGAAAAUAUAGCUCAUCAUAGACUAUUGUAAAUUGGUACUGGCAAGUUAAGUGAAUAAAAAGAAGAUGAUACCUGGUAGGACAAGGCAAGGUAGCUGUGAAGGGCAUCAAGAUUCUCAAUAAACUCUGUCAGGUUUCCUCCUAGUGUCCGUAGCAUUCUGUCAUACCCUGAUAUCUUACAGAAACUGAAGAAGUAUUCCCCAAAAAGUUUCAGCACUUCAUCUUCUGAUACCUCUGAGCAGGAAUAACCAAGAUGAACAAACAAUAGGGUUGGGCUUACUUAAGCAUGAGCAUGGGCAAAAUGCAUCCAUUGGAUCUUCCCAAAGGAGCCCAAGCUUCCCCAUCCCUGUGCCCAACAUCCUGGUAUGGAACCAGAGAGCCUCACUGCUACUCGGGGGCGUAUCUAGAGUAGGGCAGGCAGGGCACGUGCCCCGGGCGCCACUUGAAGGGGGGCGCAAU